AGUGAACGCUGGCGGUAGGCCUAACACAUGCAAGUCGAACGGCAGCACAGUAAGAGCUUGCUCUUACGGGUGGCGAGUGGCGGACGGGUGAGGAAUACAUCGGAAUCUACUUUUUCGUGGGGGAUAACGGAGGGAAACUUACGCUAAUACCUCAUACGACCUACGGGUGAAAGCAGGGGAUCUUCGGACCUCGCGCGCAAGAAUGAGCCGAUGUCGGAUUAGCUAGUUGGCGGGGUAAAGGCCCACCAAGGCGACGAUCCGUAGCUGGUCUGAGAGGAUGAUCAGCAACACUGGAACGGAGCCACGGUCCAGACUCCUACGGCAGGCACCAGUGGGGAAUAUUGGACAAUGGGCGCAAGCCUGAUCCAGCCAUACCGCGUGGGUGAAGAAGGCCUUCGGGUUGUAAAGCCCUUUUGUUGGGAAAGAAAAGCAGCAGGUUAAUACCCCGCUGUUCUGACGGUACCCAAAGAAUAAGCACCGGCUAACUUCGUG
rnacentral:rRNA from 1 species